rnacentral:snRNA from 1 species
AUCACUUCUCAGCUUUUUGGCUAAGAUCAAGUGUAGUAUCUAUGACAUACUUCUCUAAUAAAGUAAUCUACAUAUAACACAAU